CAUUAGCUAGUUGGUGAGGUAACGGCUCACCAAGGCGACGAUGCGUAGCCGACCUGAGAGGGUGAUCGGCCACACUGGGACUGAGACACGGCCCAGACUCCUACGGGAGGCAGCAGUAGGGAAUCUUCCGCAAUGGACGAAAGUCUGACGGAGCAACGCCGCGUGAGUGAUGAAGGUUUUCGGAUCGUAAAGCUCUGUUGUUAGGGAAGAACAAGUGCAAGAGUAACUGCUUGCACCUUGACGGUACCUAACCAGAAAGCCACGGCUAACUACGUGCCAGCAGCCGCGGUAAUACGUAGGUGGCAAGCGUUGUCCGGAAUUAUUGGGCGUAAAGGGCUCGCAGGCGGUUUCUUAAGUCUGAUGUGAAAGCCCCCGGCUCAACCGGGGAGGGUCAUUGGAAACUGGGAAACUUGAGUGCAGAAGAGGAGAGUGGAAUUCCACGUGUAGCGGUGAAAUGCGUAGAGAUGUGGAGGAACACCAGUGGCGAAGGCGACUCUCUGGUCUGUAACUGACGCUGAGGAGCGAAAGCGUGGGGAGCGAACAGGAUUAGAUACCCUGGUAGUCCACGCCGUAAACGAUGAGUGCUAAGUGUUAGGGGGUUUCCGCCCCUUAGUGCUGCAGCUAACGCAUUAAGCACUCCGCCUGGGGAGUACGGUCGCAAGACUGAAACUCAAAGGAAUUGACGGGGGCCCGCACAAGCGGUGGAGCAUGUGGUUUAAUUCGAAGCAACGCGAAGAACCUUACCAGGUCUUGACAUCCUCUGACAACCCUAGAGAUAGGGCUUUCCCUUCGGGGACAGAGUGACAGGUGGUGCAUGGUUGUCGUCAGCUCGUGUCGUGAGAUGUUGGGUUAAGUCCCGCAACGAGCGCAACCCUUGAUCUUAGUUGCCAGCAUUCAGUUGGGCACUCUAAGGUGACUGCCGGUGACAAACCGGAGGAAGGUGGGGAUGACGUCAAAUCAUCAUGCCCCUUAUGACCUGGGCUACACACGUG
rnacentral:rRNA from 11 species